UACGUAGGGUGCGAGCGUUGUCCGGAAUUAUUGGGCGUAAAGGGCUCGUAGGCGGUUUGUCGCGUCGGGGAGUGAAAACCAGGUGCUUAACACCUGGCUUGCUUUCGAUACGGGCAGACUAGAGGUAUGCAGGGGAGAACGGAAUUCCUGGUGUAGCGGUGAAAUGCGCAGAUAUCAGGAGGAACACCGGUGGCGAAGGCGGUUCUCUGGGCAUGACCUGACGCUGAGGAGCGAAAGUGUGGGGAGCGAACAGG
rnacentral:rRNA from 1 species